AGUGGAUACGUUGCCAACAAGCUAGGAUUUCUAGAGGUAAGGUCGCCGUUUACUUUUAGGAGAUAUUUUAAGGCUUUCGUGACUCUCAUGCUGAAUUUUUACUUCUGCAGUUGACUGGGAAUCGAGACUUCCUUGUGUUCUCGGUCUUUGCAAGUCGCGUCUCUCUUUAUUUACUCGGAAACAGCAAAGGCUUCUCAACAAGGCUAGAGAGGUGGAGGGAAU
rnacentral:lncRNA from 1 species